rnacentral:rRNA from 1 species
GACCGAACUUAUACUGCAAGUCGAGCGGACAGAAGGGAGCUUGCUCCCGGAUGUUAGCGGCGGACGGGUGAGUAACACGUGGGUAACCUGCCUGUAAGACUGGGAUAACUCCGGGAAACCGGAGCUAAUACCGGAUAGUUCCUUGAACCGCAUGGUUCAAGGAUGAAAGACGGUUUCGGCUGUCACUUACAGAUGGACCCGCGGCGCAUUAGCUAGUUGGUGAGGUAACGGCUCACCAAGGCGACGAUGCGUAGCCGACCUGAGAGGGUGAUCGGCCACACUGGGACUGAGACACGGCCCAGACUCCUACGGGAGGCAGCAGUAGGGAAUCUUCCGCAAUGGACGAAAGUCUGACGGAGCAACGCCGCGUGAGUGAUGAAGGUUUUCGGAUCGUAAAGCUCUGUUGUUAGGGAAGAACAAGUGCAAGAGUAACUGCUUGCACCUUGACGGUACCUAACCAGAAAGCCACGGCUAACUACGUGCCAGCAGCCGCGGUAAUACGUAGGUGGCAAGCGUUGUCCGGAAUUAUUGGGCGUAAAGGGCUCGCAGGCGGUUUCUUAAGUCUGAUGUGAAAGCCCCCGGCUCAACCGGGGAGGGUCAUUGGAAACUGGGAAACUUGAGUGCAGAAGAGGAGAGUGGAAUUCCACGUGUAGCGGUGAAAUGCGUAGAGAUGUGGAGGAACACCAGUGGCGAAGGCGACUCUCUGGUCUGUAACUGACGCUGAGGAGCGAAAGCGUGGGGAGCGAACAGGAUUAGAUACCCUGGUAGUCCACGCCGUAAACGAUGAGUGCUAAGUGUUAAGGGGUUUCCGCCCCUUAGUGCUGCAGCUAACGCAUUAAGCACUCCGCCUGGGGAGUACGGUCGCAAGACUGAAACUCAAAGGAAUUGACGGGGGCCCGCACAAGCGGUGGAGCAUGUGGUUUAAUUCGAAGCACGCGAGACCUUACCAG